AGCCCAGAGCCUGAAUCAGUGUGUGUGUUAGUGGAAGCGUCUGGAAAGGCGCGCGAUACAGGGUGACAGCCCCGUACACAAAAAUGCACAUACUGUGAGCUCGAUGAGUAGGGCGGGACACGUGGUAUCCUGUCUGAAUAUGGGGGGACCAUCCUCCAAGGCUAAAUACUCCUGACUGACCGAUAGUGAACCAGUACCGUGAGGGAAAGGCGAAAAGAACCCCGGCGAGGGGAGUGAAAAAGAACCUGAAACCGUGUACGUACAAGCAGUGGGAGCCUCUUUAUGGGGUGACUGCGUACCUUUUGUAUAAUGGGUCAGCGACUUAUAUUCUGUAGCAAGGUUAACCGAAUAGGGGAGCCGAAGGGAAACCGAGUCUUAACUGGGCGUUAAGUUGCAGGGUAUAGACCCGAAACCCGGUGAUCUAGCCAUGGGCAGGUUGAAGGUUGGGUAACACUAACUGGAGGACCGAACCGACUAAUGUUGAAAAAUUAGCGGAUGACUUGUGGCUGGGGGUGAAAGGCCAAUCAAACCGGGAGAUAGCUGGUUCUCCCCGAAAGCUAUUUAGGUAGCGCCUCGUGAAUUCAUCUCCGGGGGUAGAGCACUGUUUCGGCAAGGGGGUCAUCCCGACUUACCAACCCGAUGCAAACUGCGAAUACCGGAGAAUGUUAUCACGGGAGACACACGGCGGGUGCUAACGUCCGUCGUGAAGAGGGAAACAACCCAGACCGCCAGCUAAGGUCCCAAAGUCAUGGUUAAGUGGGAAACGAUGUGGGAAGGCCCAGACAGCCAGGAUGUUGGCUUAGAAGCAGCCAUCAUUUAAAGAAAGCGUAAUAGCUCACUGGUCGAGUCGGCCUGCGCGGAAGAUGUAACGGGGCUAAACCAUGCACCGAAGCUGCGGCAGCGAC
rnacentral:rRNA from 1 species